GUGCACAAGCCUGAGUUCAACUCCCUGGCCUGUGUGUGUGUGUGUGUUGUGUGUGUGUAUCUCUUUUCCUUUGUAUUAGUCCAUGUACUUGUUGCAAGAAGUAUAAAUCCACUAGGACCAAAAAAUAAUUUAUUGAAAGAAUAGGGUAUGACACAAAUUGUGAGAACUGGAAAACCAGACUGAAAGGUUAUGGUACUAGGAGCAGUGUUCAACAUUGCCUCUGGGACAUUUUAGAAAUAAUACCAGUUCCAAUAGCUGAUCCCGCCAAUAUAGGCAAUACUGCCCCUGAAAUGUAGACAUAGCUUUUGAUGGAUAUCAUUAGUGGAACCUGGGUGGUAUUGCCAGUGCCUAACCCAUGGGAGAGGGAAGAAAAGCAGGUUUCUGUCUUUUUCUUCUUUCAUAGAGGAAGGGGGCAGCCAUCUAGAGUGGUUGAUGGACACCUUGUUUCUCUCCAAGAUUAUGUAUUGAAAUUCACCAGAGGAACUCUGUUCUAUGUUAAUAAGAAACUCUU